CAUAGAAAACACACUGUUGUUCCUAUUGACUUCCACAAUCUUCCAUCUCCUAACCUUCACGGAGGGAACAGGUCCACUUAAAGGAACAUGACCCGCAAGAAGCAUGGGCUGGAGUUAGCCAAUCGGGAAGAGGGGAAACAGAUUAGCAGACAGACUAACGCAGGCCUCAGCACCUCCUUGGCUCAGGGGCCACCUGGGACUAAUUUUUUGAGACGACGGUGAUUCCUGAAGGCUGGCCCAAAGAACUCCGUAUUCAAGAUCGAGAUGCAGAGUCCACCUUCAAUACAUGCUCAUUCCAUCUAGUGAGUAGAAGUAUUUUUUGUCUUUGAGAAGAGAUAUUUCUGGGGGAAAAAGAGAAAGUGGAUGUAAGUUUAGGUGAGAACUUGGGUAUAGAAAACUCAGAACCCAUUGGAAAGACCUCGCUAAGGAAAUCCCCAAAUGCACCGGAAGAAGUUCUUCAAUCAUUUUCCGGUUUCCUGGGGGGGAGGGGGGGAGGUUCACUUCCUCAGACACUCUUAACCUGGUCGAGGAAAGAACCGACCUCUUGCCUGCAGUUUCCGUCUUUAAACACCUUCUGCCGCGGUGGCCUGGUGCAUCUCCUUCCGGACCUGCCGAGCGGGUGACUGGGACAACAGGCCCGAGACCGAGCACCUGCUCAGCCCACCUGUUCCGGGGACAUUGCAGAAGUGACUUCAAAAACCCGAAUGCAGUGAGGUGGGCGACCCAAGUCUAUGACCGCCAGCGUGCGAAGCAUGGAAAACGAUGUUUGGACAUUUUAUUAAGCAAGCAACUGAAAGAUGAUGCUCAGCUGAAACGAACUCUGAGCCAACGCCUUUGUGUAGCGCUGAAGUCGCCGUAGCUCUGUUCGCUUCCUUCCUGAACAGCUCAUUCUCUGUUCCUGAGUCUCCCAGAGCCCCCGGAUCUUGCUAAGAAAGGCCAGAGCCAGAACACUGGAGACAUGGGGGUGACUGGGGGAGCCGUAGCAAACACUAAAAAUUAUUGAAGGAUUGAAAGCAAGGACUCGAGCAGGUGCUUGUAGACUCGUGUCCACAGCUGCAUCAUUCAUAACAACAGAAGGUGGAAACAACCCAAGUGUCCAUCAACAGUGAAGGGAAAGCACAGUGCGGAUAUACAUGCAAUGAAUGUUAUUUAGCCACAAAAAGGAAUGCAGUUCUGAUCCACGUUGCAACAUGAAUAAGCCUUAAAAACACGUCAGUUCCUGGGAGUUGGAAAAAUGCCUCACCUGCAUGUGCUCGAAUUCAACCAUAUUUUUGCAAGAGCGCACAUUCCUGUACGUAGCAGCUUAGCUCAUAUGAUUUGAA